rnacentral:rRNA from 1 species
AUUGAACGCUGGCGGCAGGCCUAACACAUGCAAGUCGAGCGGAAACGAGUUAUCUGAACCUUCGGGGAAUGAUAACGGCGUCGAGCGGCGGACGGGUGAGUAAUGCCUAGGAAAUUGCCAUGAUGUGGGGGAUAACCAUUGGAAACGAUGGCUAAUACCGCAUGAUGCCUACGGGCCAAAGAGGGGGACCUUCGGGCCUCUCGCGUCAGGAUAUGCCUAGGUGGGAUUAGCUAGUUGGUGAGGUAAGGGCUCACCAAGGCAACGAUCCCUAGCUGGUCUGAGAGGAUGAUCAGCCACACUGGAACUGAGACACGGUCCAGACUCCUACGGGAGGCAGCAGUGGGGAAUAUUGCACAAUGGGCGCAAGCCUGAUGCAGCCAUGCCGCGUGUAUGAAGAAGGCCUUCGGGUUGUAAAGUACUUUCAGCAGUGAGGAAGGCGGGUACGUUAAUAGCGUGCUCGUUUGACGUUAGCUGCAGAAGAAGCACCGGCUAACUCCGUGCCAGCAGCCGCGGUAAUACGGAGGGUGCGAGCGUUAAUCGGAAUUACUGGGCGUAAAGCGCAUGCAGGUGGUUUGUUAAGUCAGAUGUGAAAGCCCGGGGCUCAACCUCGGAAUAGCAUUUGAAACUGGCAGACUAGAGUACUGUAGAGGGGGGUAGAAUUUCAGGUGUAGCGGUGAAAUGCGUAGAGAUCUGAAGGAAUACCGGUGGCGAAGGCGGCCCCCUGGACAGAUACUGACACUCAGAUGCGAAAGCGUGGGGAGCAAACAGG